GAAGCAGGCAGCUACUUCUGGCUAUUGCCUGGCUUGCAAUCACCACAGAUGACCUCUGAGAAAACUUAUGAUCAUCAUCUGUACCUGUGAGACCACAGUUUGAUGUAUGGCAACACUGCUCCACUUUGGACAUGCCUUUGUCGUGGUUCCUGCCUUUCCCAGAGAGCCCCUCGGAGGCCCAAAAUGAAGAGAGGCAAUGAAGUCAAGGGCCCGGCUAUCAUUCACUGACACCCACUUUUGGGGAUCUUAGGCAGGGUGACAGCUCUGAGAGCCAGGAGCCCGAGUCUGUCUCAAGAACUUGCACAUGCCUGU
rnacentral:lncRNA from 1 species